rnacentral:rRNA from 1 species
UGGGGAAUAUUGGACAAUGGGCGCAAGCCUGAUCCAGCCAUGCCGCGUGAGUGACGAAGGCCUUAGGGUUGUAAAGCUCUUUUGGCGGGGAAGAUAAUGACGGUACCCGCAGAAUAAGCUCCGGCUAACUUCGUGCCAGCAGCCGCGGUAAUACGAAGGGAGCUAGCGUUGUUCGGAAUCACUGGGCGUAAAGCGCACGUAGGUGGGCAGUUAAGUCAGGGGUGAAAGCCCGAGGCUCAACCUCGGAAUUGCCUCUGAUACUGGCUGUCUAGAGUUCGAGAGAGGUGAGUGGAAUUCCUAGUGUAGAGGUGAAAUUCGUAGAUAUUAGGAAGAACACCAGUGGCGAAGGCGGCUCACUGGAUCGGUACUGACGCUGAGGUGCGAAAGCGUGGGGAGCAAACAGGAUUAGAUACCCCCGUAGUCCCUGAGCGGGCUGGCAAG